rnacentral:rRNA from 1 species
CAGUCGCCACGGGAAUACAGAGGGUGCGAGCGUUAAUCGGAUUUACUGGGCGUAAAGCGUGCGUAGGCGGCUUUUUAAGUCGGAUGUGAAAUCCCUGAGCUUAACUUAGGAAUUGCAUUCGAUACUGGGAAGCUAGAGUAUGGGAGAGGAUGGUAGAAUUCCAGGUGUAGCGGUGAAAUGCGUAGAGAUCUGGAGGAAUACCGAUGGCGAAGGCAGCCAUCUGGCCUAAUACUGACGCUGAGGUACGAAAGCAUGGGGAGCAAACAGGAUUAGAUACCCCGGUAGUUCCUGUCUCUUAUAC